rnacentral:lncRNA from 1 species
AAAUUCAGCAUUUGCUUCUUUAUAAUUUAAAUUCAAACUGUUUGAAAACAUUAUUUAAGAAUAGACCGAUUGUUGUUAUUGUUAAUUUUAGUAUCACAAGUAGAAGAAAUGGUUGCAUAUGACUAAAUCUCAAGAAUGUUUUACAAUAUAAAAUUAACAACCACCACAACAAAAAUAGUAAUAAUACAUAUUACGAACAAUAACAAUUUCUCAACUCAGUGCUCUAAGUGGAAGAAGAUGUUGCAUACUCGUAGUUUAUAGUCACCCUAGAUAUGCUACCUUGUACAAGAAUGUCCUAACGUGAAUUGCAUACUUGAGUUUUUCCGUUUUAGAGUAUAAUAAAGAAUUGAGAAAUUAUUUGAAAAAGUCUUACUACACAUGAUUAAAUUGUGCCUAUGGUUAUCACUCUACGUGAUUAAAUUGUGCCUAUGGUUAACUUUCAUCUUGGAUUAGUUAGGUAGUCUUAUCGUGAAGCAUGUCUUGUAAGCAUUUUGUAUGCAGCAAUAUUGACGAACGUCACUUUGUGGAGACUUAAGAUUUUAUAGUGCAAGUGUACAUUUUUUUUUUUUAGUAAAAUCUAUAAGUUGAGUAUCGAGUUAGAAUAUGGUUUAUAGGUAGUCAUAUUAACAAGUAUUUUUUAAGAAGGAAUUAGCAUAAAACCUUCCCACUACUUGCAUCGUUCAUAUCGUUUCAAACUUAACAUUUGCAUUCUUAUUUCAAUAUUUUCUUGCUGAGUUGGUCACUUUCGUCUCCUUCCAUCAAUUCUUUCAAUUAAAUAAGAAUAAUUAGUGUAAAAUAUCCUUAUCAUUUGCCUUCGUUAUGUAAAUCAUCCAUAUAUUUUCAAUUUUGGCAUUUGAAC